ensembl:lncRNA NR2F1-AS1 NR2F1 antisense RNA 1
GAAACGAACACGAUUAAAAUAGACCAAAAGAAAAGAAAGAAAAGAAAACCUUUCUAUGUACAGAUUCUAAAUCGUACUCCCCAUACAGUCAGAGGCAGGGAGUCGAGGGCAGAGGCAGCAGGCGGAGAGAGGGAGAUAGGGCGAGGGAAGGAGAACGCGGAGAGAGACGAAGGGAGUGGGAGACCAGCGACAGCGAGCGCCAGGGCACCGCAGGCACACUGGAUGCCCAGUCCGCCGGCCCAGCCGCCCUCGGACCCUGGACCGUGCGUCGUGGGCACCAGAAACGAGACUCGGCCAAAUCCUGCCUCACCAGCAGGUAGAUGAAACUCAAGAGAAAAGGUGUGGAUAAAUGAAACUAGCCCAUGAUGAACCUGUUUUCUCCGUGACCACAAUAUUAACCAGGAUGAAUGGCGGUGGCAGUGGGCCUGCAUCACAGGUUGCAGCAGAUGUUCUCAAUAUUUCUAUUAAAAUUUCCUUAUUUCCAUAUGCAAGAGGAGCCCCAGAGCUGCAUCCUUAUGGUAGCUACCAUGCCGUGAUGUAAGCUGCCAUUCACUGGGGAGCUUUGGCAAUAGAAUUGGCUAGAUCAGGAAGCCUAUGUCAACUAUGGAACAACAACUUGCAGCUCAUCUCUAUUGAUGUGGCUGUAGUUAUGCCACAGACAUGACCAAAGAGAGAGCUUUGUCACAGAUGAGCAAAGGUGAAACAGUCGCAAAUGGAAUUCCAAGAAACAUUCUAUAUACACUGCCUCUAGGACUGGGACAGAUAGCCACUGAGUACCUGCUUCAAAUCACCCUGCACGUUUUCUCUUUGGAAAGAUAAGCACUGGAGAACCAUCUCGUUACCUUCAGCAGAAAUGGAAACAAAUCAAGACAUUAAGAAUGCCGCAGUGGACAGCAGUUAUGCAAGGUUCAGCAGAGGAAGUUUUCAAGAUGGUGUGCCUCACUAGCCAGAAAUCAGAAAAGAUCGAAGCUAGCCUUUUCAUCUCAGCUGCUCCUUAAAUCAGUGCAACCCCUCCAAAUUAAUGUGAAUUGAAACUUGCAUUGCUUUUCAACUUAAUUGAAUACUUACUAUAUGUGAACCACUGCACAAAAUAGGGGAAGAAGAUGUGGGAGACAAAGAUGUGGAGCCUGUCUUCAAUAAAUUUACAGUUAGUUUCAGGGUACAUUGUUUUUCUUCUGCUGUUAAUUAGGUGUAUCCCCAAGACAAUAAAUACAUGAAUGGAAAAGUAUAUUCUGUGUUUUAAGUCUCUUUAAUAAAAAACAAAACAAAAUCCAAAAAAACUCCUAACAUGGCAACUCAGGACAUUUUAAUCCUUUUUUUUGUUGUUGGGCUUCUGAUAGGAUCCAUUUUAUUGAUUCCAUAAAUAUUUAGUAGACUUUAGACAUAUUAAUACAUUGUAGUUUGAGUUAAUUUGCAUUAAAUUCUGUUUUUUUCCCCUUAGGUAUAGAUUGUCUGUUGGAAAAAUAUAUUGCUUGUGGAUUUCUUGGGGAGUGGGAAGGUGAAUUAUACCUGUUGUCUCUACAGUCCACUACCUUCCACACCCUAGGGCAGUGGUCCCCAACCUUCUUGGCACCAGGGAUCAGUUUCCUGGAAGACAAUUUUUCUGUGGAUGGUGUGGGGAUGGUUUUGGGAUGGAACUGUUCCACCUCAGAUCAUCAGGCAUUAGUUAGGCUCUCAUAACGAGUGCGCAGCCUAGAUCCCUCACAUGCACAGUUCACAGUAGGGUUUGCGCUGCUAUGAGAAUCUAAGGCUGCCACUGAUCUGACAGGAGGCAGAACUCAGGUGGCAAUGCUUACUGGCCCACUGCUCACCUCUUGCUGUGCGGCCUGGUUCCUAAUAGGCCAUGGACCCCCACAGACGGGUACUAGUCUGCAGCCUGUGGACCCCAGCCCUAGGGGCCUGCCAUUCUGAGUGAGUUAUUAGCAUGAAGAAGAGGAAGAUCUGGAUCAAACGUGGGUGAUGGUACUCAGAGACCCAAGAUAGGAUAGGGAUGGAACAAAAUCCAUCUGGGCAACGGCUCUAUGAAAAUUUGGCUAAGUAAUUAUUUCAGUAUUCAUUGUAUUCAUUGUCCUUCGUGUUCCAUAAGUUAAAUGACUGUCUAAUUUUUCCAAAAAUUUAUUUCUGACUUGAGAAUAAGUGUGUCAUGAUUUUCCCAGUGUAAAGACACUGAUAUAACUGUAGAUACCAGACAUUUUAUGUAGUGUCUAUGACACAUUUUAGUAUGUAUGAGCCAACAAUAGACAUGUCUUUGUCUUGAGGAGUGUCCAUCUGAAUUGAAAAUGUGUCAGCUUUUUUUUAACAUCAUCAACAGACUUCUUAAUUAAGCUGCCAAUACAUACUGCCAAUAGCACUGUGUGCUGUCUGAGAAAUGC